UAGCUGCCUGUAUGAAUGCUAUCUGUACACAGGGAUAAUGCUCCUGAUGCAUAGAUGGGACCAGUGGUUGGAGGGCAUGCUGGUUCUUACAGUGCCAUAUGGAGAUCCUAGGGGUGGCUCUAGAUUCCUCAAGUCCACGUUAUAUACUAUUAUCCAGUCUAUUUAAUGGGUUGCCGCGGCAACGUGGGCGGGACCCGGGACGUCACUUCCGGCGGAAGUAUCCCGCUCGUGGAGACGGACGCCGGGCCCGGGACACGGGGGCGGCGGCAACCUGAGGGGGACUUCGCGGAGGGGAACCCACUCAGUGUGUGGAACGUGCACCAAAUUGCAUAUAUGUGUCGCUACCUUGUGGGAAAAUAAUAUUUAAAGUACCAAGAUACCUAAGAAGAUAUUUGAUGAACUGUGGACCCUUCAUUGAUGCUACACCAUCCUCGAUGGACAAUUGUUUCUGAACCAAUCAUAUAUGAAGAAUUAACUUUUUUCAAAAUAUUUUUCUUAUUUUUUUUUCUUAUUUUUUUUCUCUCUCUUUCUCUUCUUUCAUCUCCCCCUCUUUUCUCUCCCCAACUUCUUUUCCUUAUCCUUUCCUUUUGUACUCUUUUGUCUUUGUGUCAAUGUACCUUGAGACCUGAACUAAUCAAGGCACAGGAAAAUUGUGUAAAUCAUAUUGACAUUUAAUAAACAAUUAGUUAACUUAAA